CACAUGGCGACUCGUCGUGGGGCUUUCUUCUUGUGUGUAUCCGUUAUUGCAGCGAGUUUUGUAGAGGGACCCGUCUAACAUUACCAUGAAAUAGUUGGUAUUCUUGGUCAGAUUUAUCUGUGGAAAGUGUUACACGUAAUGACCACCACGUUUGAGCGGUUUUUGCGGCUGUACUGGCGGUAUCUUGGAUUCAUCAGCGCUGGUCGAACUACACCGAUUUCCUCAGCAAUAAUUCUUCCAUAAGGAGAUCUGUUUACCUUUCUAUGGUUGUUUCUGAAACCCAAGACUUCAUGUAGGUGGCGUACAGGAACAUGUGCAAACACAUUCUACAUCCCAAGAUAUGUUGCUGGAAGCGUUCAAUAAAUGCUGUUAAGUUUCACCAUCAUACUACUUUUGCUGUGCACUGUUCACUGGACCAGCAGGUCCUGUGAUUGAUAAAGUAGGAACCACGUGACAUGCAAUAGCAGCCAGCUAACAUCUGUGCGAGAUCUGGCCAGUCUGAAUUGUACUCGGUAUAAACAUUCGUUGAGGGAUUUCCACUUGGA